rnacentral:lncRNA from 1 species
CCGUGAUGACUUCUCCAGAUCGGCAUCUUCAAAGAGGGAAUGCAUCAAGCUGGCUUCCUCCCCCAGCAGGAUGGAGACAGAGUCUUCCGAGGAGCCAGUCUCAGAAGCUGCCCUGCAGGAGGUGAGGAAGGAGCUUGAAGUCCACCUCGACAUCAAUGACAGCCAUGUGGAGGCAAGCAAGGCUGCAGCUCUCCCCGCUGAGCCCAUAGACGGACUCUAAGCUCCCAUCUGCCCAGCUGGCUGCUGAGGACACAGCCGUGGACCCACCACAGGGCAGUGGUGCAGGAUGGGGCCAGCCAUGAGCCAGUGUGACAGACAGACAGCAUGUGCCAGGCAUAUCAGUCAUCCAGGACGGGACCAGCUGCCCCAUGAGAACACGCCAUGCAGGGGCUGAGCACCCUGGGGCACCUCACCCACAGCUGGAGGAAAUCUUUUACAAAAGGCUUUAUUGGAAGGCAAAACAGUAAAAUCCACAAUCAAUUGUUAAC